UCCGGCUUAACGCCGGCGGUCUCCCUAGAGUGCCCAACUAAAUGGUGGCAACUAAGGAUAAGGGUUGCGCUCGUUAAGGGACUUAACCCGACAUCUCACGAUACGAGCUGACGACAGCCAUGCAGCACCUGUCCUGGAGUCCCCGAAGGGAAAGUCCUACUUCUAGGAUUGUCUCCAAAUGUCAAAUCUAGGUAAGGUUCUUCGCGUUGCAUCGAAUUAAACCACAUGCUCCACCGCUUGUGCGGGCCCCCGUCAAUUCCUUUGAGUUUUAACCUUGCGGCCGUACUUCCCAGGCGGGGUACUUAAUGCGUUGGCGUCGACACUGCAGGGGUCAAUUCCUGCAACAUCUAGUACCCAUCGUUUACAGCGUGGACUAC
rnacentral:misc_RNA from 1 species